CAGUAGCCACGGUAAUACGGAGGAUCCAAGCGUUAUCCGGAAUCAUUGGGUUUAAAGGGUCCGUAGGCGGUCUUGUAAGUCAGUGGUGAAAGCCCAUCGCUCAACGGUGGAACGGCCAUUGAUACUGCAGGACUUGAAUUAUUGGGAAGUAACUAGAAUAUGUAGUGUAGCGGUGAAAUGCUUAGAGAUUACAUGGAAUACCAAUUGCGAAGGCAGGUUACUACCAAUUAAUUGACGCUGAUGGACGAAAGCGUGGGUAGCGAACAGGAUUAGAUACCCCCGUAGUCCCUGUCUCUUAUAC
rnacentral:rRNA from 1 species